rnacentral:rRNA from 1 species
UCUCAUCUAUGGGAGGGUAUGCGACAGCUUUGGCUCGUCACCAACAUGAGGGCUCAUAAUGACACGUGGUUUGCAUAUUACUUGCUAAGGGUCGGCAAUGGCACUGAGGAUGUUGACGAUCAAGGCAACAUACUACUCCCUGAAGACAUUUGUCUACCUUCUACAGGCGAGGUUGACGACUUGGAGAAGCUUAUUGACCAUGUGUUUCCGAGUCUAGAUGUCAACAUGUCUGAUUCGAAUUAGAUGACAUGUCGUGCAAUCCUUUCCACCAAAAAUGAAGUAAUCUACCAUAGCUUUGACAGUGCGGAGGACGGCCCGUAUGGCUACUAUGCUCAAGAGUUUCUGAAUGGAUUGACUCCCAACGGUCUUCCUCCGCAUGCACUCAAACUAAAGCUAAACUGCCAUGUCAUACUUCUAAGGAACAUUGAUCCAGCUAACGGACUGUGUAACGGCACUAGGCUUGUUGUUAGAGGAUUUGAGAGGAACACCAUUGAUGCAGAAAUCGUGAUUGGACAACACGCUGGCAGGAGGGUCUUCCUUCCUCGAAUACCUCUCAGCCCAUCUGAAAAAGACAUGUUUCCAUUCAAGUUUAAGAGGAAGCAAUUUCCUAUAAGACUUAGGUUUGCUAUGACCACUAACAAGGCUCAAGGGCAGACCAUCCCUAUUGUUGGUAUCUACCUACCCAAUCCUGUGUUCUCUCAUGGUCAACUCUAUGUUGCUUUGUCGACCGCGAAGAGAAACAUAAAGAUACUCAUUCAGAAGGAGAAGCCGAAGGAGAAGGCUAAGAAGCAAGAGGACAAUCCAAAGAAGCGAAAAAGACCGACCCUGUCCUUACUGACCUCGAUGAAGAACAUCAUCUACAAGGAAGUCCUUACAGGCUGA